CCGUGGUGCACUAGUUAACCUAUUUGGAAUUCCAUCCUUCUUUGCUUGGGUGUUUAUUCCUGGAGACAUGGAGGUCCACAAGGUCAAGAUGGCAAGCUUGUGCUUAAUUUUGCUCAUGGCACUCCUCUUGCUUCCUGCAGGAUCUGAAGGCGCCUGCAGGGGGUUAAGCCAGACGUACCAAACUGACCAAUGCAAGGGUGACCAAUGCACAGAGCACUGCGAACAUGAGAAUUUCCCGUAUGCGGAGUGUGACACGGACCAUCAAUAUCCUGAACUUAGUUACUGCGUCUGCUUCUUUCCAUGCUGAUUCUGCCUCAAGUUGCUUCAGGAUGUGAAGCAACGUGCAAUAAGAUCUUAAGGCGAGCCGUCUGUAACAUCCAAAUAUUUCGAAAUUUGGAAUGUUGAAUAAAUUAGCCAAUCAAUAAAUAUAGUUGAUUUCCCUUGUUUGUGGUUGUA